rnacentral:rRNA from 1 species
GACGAACGCUGGCGGCGUGCUUAACACAUGCAAGUCGAACGGAAAGGCCCUGCUUUUGUGGGGUGCUCGAGUGGCGAACGGGUGAGUAACACGUGAGUAACCUGCCCUUGACUUUGGGAUAACUUCAGGAAACUGGGGCUAAUACCGGAUAGGAGCUCCUGCUGCAUGGUGGGGGUUGGAAAGUUUCGGCGGUUGGGGAUGGACUCGCGGCUUAUCAGCUUGUUGGUGGGGUAGUGGCUUACCAAGGCUUUGACGGGUAGCCGGCCUGAGAGGGUGACCGGCCACAUUGGGACUGAGAUACGGCCCAGACUCCUACGGGAGGCAGCAGUGGGGAAUAUUUCACAAUGGGCGGAAGCCUGAUGCAGCAACGCCGCGUGCGGGAUGACGGCCUUCGGGUUGUAAACCGCUUUCGCCUGUGACGAAGCGUGAGUGACGGUAAUGGGUAAAGAAGCACCGGCUAACUACGUA